UAGGUAUGUGUGCCGCAGCCGCGGUAAUACGUAGGGGGCAAGCGUUAUCCGGAUUUACUGGGUGUAAAGGGAGCGUAGACGGAUGGACAAGUCUGAUGUGAAAGGCUGGGGCUCAACCCCGGGACUGCAUUGGAAACUGCCCGUCUUGAGUGCCGGAGAGGUAAGCGGAAUUCCUAGUGUAGCGGUGAAAUGCGUAGAUAUUAGGAGGAACACCAGUGGCGAAGGCGGCUUUCUGGACUGUAACUGACGCUGAGGCUCGAAAGCUAGGGUAGCGAACGGG
rnacentral:rRNA from 1 species